CUCAUCGUCUCUUGCCGCUGCCAUGAAAGGAGUGCUUUUUGCCUCCCACCAUGAUUCUGAGGCCUCCCCAGCCAUGUAGAAUUAGCCAGCCUGUUUUUGAUGAAGAGCAACUGUACUGGAGAGAAAGCCUGUAUUCAUAUUCAUCGUCAUCAGGCAAAUCGAGGAGCUGACUUGCUUAGGAUCACGAGUCACUGAUUCAGAGGACCAUUUACAGUCAUCACCUGGCAGCGUGCAUGGGGCGAUUGGUUCCAGGUCACCCCUGUAUCAAAACCCGCAGAUACCAAAAUCCAGGGAUGCAUACCUCUCGGUCUGCUGGUUGAAUCCAUGGAUGCAGAACCCCAGAUUCGGAGGGCUGAAUGUACUUUCGAUAGGUUCCUGAGCAGCAGUGAUUAUAGUCACAGCAGACUGGACAGUUUGGUGAGCAAGUUCAGGGGCUGGCUUAGUGAUUCAUAGUUCUUUCUUCCUCCUCCCCCAGCAGUUUUGUUUCAGCAGUGAUUUGGUCAAAUGUGAACCACAAACCAGCAGCAAAAGCAUUUUCUAGGAACUUGUUAAAACUGGAAGGCCCAAGGUUGCACUCAGGCUUACUGAGUCAGUCACUCCAAGUGGACCCCAUCCCUAAACCUUGAGACUCACUGCUCCUCUUUUGAUCUGGGAGAGAAACAGAAAAAAGAAGGAAAAAAAAUCCCCAAUGUGAGUAUGCUGGAAAGUAAAUUUGAAUAGCUUUUUAUAUUGGGUACUUACUGUGGGUAAUUUACAAACUAUUGGAAGGAACCACAAAUUCAAACACAGCCAAAUUUAAGGUCUCUUUAGCAGAAAUCAAUCUUACAUCAUGGCAGUUCUCCCAUUCUCCAGUCUUUCACUUGAUAGAUCACUUCCUCAUUAGGAUGACCUACAGCAAUUCUACAUGAACUGCUCUUUACAUUUAAACAGUGCUUUCUGUCCUAACAUGUCAAAAUGCUUGACAAGCAAUCAAAAGGUAGCUCACUAAUUUUUUCAACUCAUGG
rnacentral:lncRNA from 1 species